UGGCUCGUUUAAUUUUGAUAAAAUUUUGACAAAAUAUUUACUUUGACUCUUUAACAAAAACGUAAAAAUUUCAAAAAUUUUGAACCAACCAUUUUAUCAGAAAAAUUACACUGGUUAUAUAGCAGUUUGACAAACACCAAUUUUGAUCACCGAGAAGCUUAAUAUUCCCUUUACAACACAACGUAGUUAAAACGUUUAGCUGACUUUACAGAGUUAUCUCCCUGUAGUGUUAGGUACCACCUUAAGUUA
rnacentral:lncRNA from 1 species